rnacentral:rRNA from 1 species
GACGAACGCUGGCGGCGCGCUUAAAACAUGCAAGUCGAACGUGAAGCCGGGGCUUGCCCCGGUGGAAAGUGGCGAACGGGUGAGUAACACGUGAGGAACGUGCCCCGGAGACCGGGAUAACCCAGGGAAACUUGGGCUAAUACCGGAUGCCUUCACCGGAUCACAUGGUCUGGUGAAGAAAUGGAUUCCGCUCCGGGAUCGCCUCGCGGCCUAUCAGCUUGUUGGUGAGGUAACGGCCCACCAAGGCUUCGACAGGUAGCUGGUCUGAGAGGACGAUCAGCCACACUGGGACUGAGACACGGCCCAGACUCCUACGGGAGGCAGCAGUUAGGAAUCUUGCACAAUGGGGGAAACCCUGAUGCAGCGACGCCGCGUGCGGGACGAAGGCCCUCGGGUCGUAAACCGCUUUCAGCAGGAACGAAAUUGACGGUACCUGCAGAAGAAGCCCCGGCCAACUACGUGCCAGCAGCCGCGGUAAUACGUAGGGGGCAAGCGUUGUCCGGAUUCAUUGGGCGUAAAGAGCUCGUAGGCGGUUCAGUAAGUCGGGUGUGAAAUCUCCGUGCUCAACACGGAGCGGCCACCUGAUACUGCUGUGACUCGAGUCCGGUAGGGGAGUGUGGAAUUCCCGGUGUAGCGGUGAAAUGCGCAGAUAUCGGGAGGAACACCAGUAAAUCGAAUUCCCGCGGCCGCCAUGGCGGCCGGGAGCAUGCGACGUCGGGCCCAAUUCGCCCUAUAGUGAGUCGUAUUACAAUUCACUGGCCGUCGUUUUACAACGUCGUGACUGGGAAAACCCUGGCGUUACCCAACUUAAUCGCCUUGCAGCACAUCCCCCUUUCGCCAGCUGGCGUAAUAGCGAAG